UACGUAGGGUGCGAGCGUUAAUCGGAAUUACUGGGCGUAAAGCGUGCGCAGGCGGCUUUGCAAGACAGAUGUGAAAUCCCCGGGCUCAACCUGGGAACUGCAUUUGUGACUGCAAGGCUAGAGUACGGCAGAGGGGGAUGGAAUUCCGCGUGUAGCAGUGAAAUGCGUAGAUAUGCGGAGGAACACCAAUGGCGAAGGCAAUCCCCUGGGCCUGUACUGACGCUCAUGCGCGAAAGCGUGGGGAGCAAACAGG
rnacentral:rRNA from 1 species